GAGCGGAUGAGAGGAGCUUGCUCCUGGAUUCAGCGGCGGACGGGUGAGUAAUGCCUAGGAAUCUGCCUGGUAGUGGGGGACAACGUUUCGAAAGGAACGCUAAUACCGCAUACGUCCUACGGGAGAAAGCAGGGGACCUUCGGGCCUUGCGCUAUCAGAUGAGCCUAGGUCGGAUUAGCUAGUUGGUGAGGUAAUGGCUCACCAAGGCGACGAUCCGUAACUGGUCUGAGAGGAUGAUCAGUCACACUGGAACUGAGACACGGUCCAGACUCCUACGGGAGGCAGCAGUGGGGAAUAUUGGACAAUGGGCGAAAGCCUGAUCCAGCCAUGCCGCGUGUGUGAAGAAGGUCUUCGGAUUGUAAAGCACUUUAAGUUGGGAGGAAGGGYWGUAAMUUAAUACKYUGCUGUUUUGACGUUACCGACAGAAUAAGCACCGGCUAACUCUGUGCCAGCAGCCGCGGUAAUACAGAGGGUGCAAGCGUUAAUCGGAAUUACUGGGCGUAAAGCGCGCGUAGGUGGUUCGUUAAGUUGGAUGUGAAAUCCCCGGGCUCAACCUGGGAACUGCAUUCAAAACUGUCGAGCUAGAGUAUGGUAGAGGGUGGUGGAAUUUCCUGUGUAGCGGUGA
rnacentral:rRNA from 1 species